UGCAUGCACUAGCCUUAAAUUAGUGAGUGUGACCACAUUCCUACCAUCUAAACAGAUUAGAAAGUUGAACAGAUUAAUAUCCUAACAAGUGAAGUCAAUCAAUUCCUUUCUACUAACAACCAUAAUAAAUGAUCGGUUAGAAUAGGUUCAAAGAUGAAGUGUUAUCUAUAUAUAUGAAGCCUUAAAAAUGCAACAAAAAAAAAAAAGUCAUUUUGUGAUUUACUUAAAGUAUAAGUCAAACUUAACUGAUUCUACUUUGAGUUUCUCCUUAUACUUCUUCUCAAAAUACAAUGGUGUCUGCACCAGCACAGCAGCAGAAAUCAUAUGAUGAUCGCGUUCGUACCCGCGAAGAAAAAGGAUGCCUCUUCAAUUUUUUCUAUACACUAUGUUGCUGCUUUUGCUGCUAUGAGAGUUGUUGCAAAUGCUGCUCGGAACGUACCUGCUGUUGCUGUCCCUAGAUUGCUUAAUUUCCAAGAAAGCGUUGCCGAGUUUAUGUUUCAUCUCUUCUGUUGUAUGAAAUGAUGAUUUUGAGGAGCCAUUAGGGAAUAAUCUUUGAAUACUUCAAUGAAUUUUAUAUUUUGUUUCUGUGUAAAUGUAAAGUGUUGAUCAUAAUACAUUAUCCAUCAAUAAACCAGUACUCAACAUUUCAAUUUCAAUAAAUCACAAUCACAAAAUUUGUGAUCA